ensembl:misc_RNA Metazoa_SRP Metazoan signal recognition particle RNA
ACUGGGCACUGUGGCAUGUGCCUGUAAUCCCAAUUACUCAGGAAGCUGAGGCAGAAGGAUCAUUUGAGCCCAGGAGUUCUGGGCUAUGGUGUGCUACAUGCCCAUCAGGUGUCCACACUAAGUUCAGCGUCAAUAUGGUAACACUAUCAGGUUACCUAAGGAGGGGUGAACCAGGCCAGGUCAGAAACAGAGCAGGCCAAAACUCCCAUGCUGAUCAGUAGUGGCAUUGUGCCUGUGAACAGCACUGCAGUCCAGGCUGGGCAAUGUAGUGAGACCCUGUCUGUU